CUUCAAGAGUUUCGACUGAUAAGCUCCGACUAUGGUCGAACGCCAACCCCAUGUUCACGGGUGGCUCGGAUGACGAAGCGGUUUGUAUUCGCCGCCUCAGGUGGCACUUGGUACAGGCAAGAGCAACGC
rnacentral:ncRNA from 2 species